GAUGAAGAACGCAGCAAAAUGCGAUACUUGGUGUGAAUUGCAGAAUCCCGUGAACCAUCGAGUUUUUGAACGCAAGUUGCGCCCGAAGCCUUUUGGCCGAGGGCACGUCUGCCUGGGCGUCACGCAUCGCGUCGCCCCCCACAAUUCUCCGUAAAGGGAACAUGUGUUUUGGGGGCGGAUAUUGGUCUCCCGUGCUCAUGGCGUGGUUGGCCGAAAUAGGAGUCCUUUCGAUGGACGCACGAACUAGUGGUGGUCGUAAAAACCCUCAUCUUUUGUUUCGUGCUGUUGCUCGCAAGGUAAACUCUUUAAAAACCCCAAUGUGUCGUCUCUUGACGACGCUUCGACCGCGACCCCAGGUCAGGCGGGACUACCCGCUGAGUUUAAGCAUAUCAAUAAGCGGAGGA
rnacentral:misc_RNA from 1 species